rnacentral:rRNA from 1 species
CACGUAGGGGGCAAGCGUUGUCCGGAUUUAUUGGGCGUAAAGAGCUCGUAGGCGGCUUAGUAAGUCGGGUGUGAAACCUCCAGGCUCAACCUGGAGACGCCACCCGAUACUGCUGUGGCUAGAGUCCGGUAGGGGAGCGUGGAAUUCCUGGUGUAGCGGUGAAAUGCGCAGAUAUCAGGAGGAACACCAGCGGCGAAGGCGGCGCGCUGGGCCGGUACUGACGCUGAGGAGCGAAAGCGUGGGGAGCAAACAGG